GAUGAACGCUGGCGGCGUGCCUAAUACAUGCAAGUCGAACGCUGAAGCUUGGUGCUUGCACCGAGCGGAUGAGUUGCGAACGGGUGAGUAACGCGUAGGUAACCUGCCUCUUAGCGGGGGAUAACUAUUGGAAACGAUAGCUAAUACCGCAUAAAAGUCGAUAUCGCAUGAUAUUGAUUUGAAAGGUGCAAAUGCAUCACUAAGAGAUGGACCUGCGUUGUAUUAGCUAGUUGGUGAGGUAACGGCUCACCAAGGCGACGAUACAUAGCCGACUUGAGAGGGUGAUCGGCCACACUGGGACUGAGACACGGCCCAGACUCCUACGGGAGGCAGCAGUAGGGAAUCUUCGGCAAUGGGGGCAACCCUGACCGAGCAACGCCGCGUGAGUGAAGAAGGUUUUCGGAUCGUAAAGCUCUGUUGUAAGAGAAGAACGAGUGUGAGAGUGGAAAGUUCACACUGUGACGGUAACUUACCAGAAAGGGACGGCUAACUACGUG
rnacentral:rRNA from 1 species